rnacentral:lncRNA from 1 species
UUACUUUUCCGCACUUACUGGCUUAUAGGGGCUAGUCUUAUAGUAUUAAUUAUGCUUUCUUCCACAUUAUAUCUAUUUCAGUUAUUUAUUUAUAGUAUUAGAGCGCUAUCCAGGUUUGCUCUUUUACCUUGACUUAGCUUAUUAAUCUUGCAUAUUAUUAUACUUAUACUAUGAUUUAACUCAGUCGUCUGAUGAUGCCUAUUAAGUACCCAUGGAUUUAGUACUCAUACUACAUUUCUGUACCUUUUUGGUGCAGAUCCGAGUAUUAGUGACCGCUAUUGACGUUGAGAUCGUGCUGAGUUGGGUUCGGAGAUAGAGUGAGCUCUUAGAGUCGGAGUAGCCCUUUUUCCUUCUACUAUAUAUAUCUAGUCUUUCGUUAUUCGAGAUUGAUUCGUAUUUGACUAUUACAUUACUUAUGUUCCCUUUUGUUAGUGGCUCCUGUACUGACACUAUUAGAUCGUGGGAUGUUAUUUUUAUUUUACUUAUCAUUCAGAUUAUUAUUAUUAUUUGAAUUAUUGUUGUAAGUCAUUACUU